AAGCAAAUUUAUAGCCUAUAUAAAUUUAAGUUAAUGAGACAAGGUGUGAUGGUAAGAUGAGGAGGUAGAUAUGGUUUAUAUCAACCUAAUCUUUGACAGUUUGGUCAAAGAUCUUGACAGAUAGGUCAAAGAUCAUUUUCUGCCAGCUAGCACACAUUCACGUGAACAAACCGUGAAACUAUACUGUGAACCAAUUGAAAACCUUGUAUGACUCUGUUCUGUGCUUUGACCAAUCACAGGGCAUAACACAGCCCAUCCUAAUUGGCACAUAACAUGCACGAGUUUAUGCAAAAUAACGUAAUUUACUCUGAGAUGUCGACAGAGUAACAUUAUCGAAAGAUUUUCAAAAUAUAACUCUACCGCGGGCAAGCACUUUUUUACUCUUCUGGUGGACAAAGGAAUACGUUGGCUCAAGUACCGAUAUGUGAUUCAGGGAGACGUAGUUUAUUCAAACAUAACUCUGCCGCGGGCAAGGACUUGUACUCGUCUGGUGGACAAAAGAAUACGUUGGCUGAAGUAUCGAUGUACUAUCCAGUGAGACGCAGUUUAUCCAAUAUAACUCUACC